GACGAACGCUGGCGGCGUGCUUAACACAUGCAAGUCGAACGGAAAGGCCCUGCUUUUGUGGGGUGCUCGAGUGGCGAACGGGUGAGUAACACGUGAGUAACCUGCCCUUGACUUUGGGAUAACUUCAGGAAACUGGGGCUAAUACCGGAUAGGAGCUCCUGCUGCAUGGUGGGGGUUGGAAAGUUUCGGCGGUUGGGGAUGGACUCGCGGCUUAUCAGCUUGUUGGUGGGGUAGUGGCUUACCAAGGCUUUGACGGGUAGCCGGCCUGAGAGGGUGACCGGCCACAGUGGGACUGAGAUACGGCCCAGACUCCUACGGGAGGCAGCAGUGGGGAAUAUUGCACAAUGGGCGGAAGCCUGAUGCAGCAACGCCGCGUGCGGGAUGACGGCCUUCGGGUUGUAAACCGCUUUCGCCUGUGACGAAGCGUGAGUGGCGGUAAUGGGUAAAGAAGCACCGGCUAACUACGUG
rnacentral:rRNA from 1 species